UCCCUGGCAGUCCAGUGGUUACGACACAGGCUUUCAGUGCCAUGGACCGGGGUUCGAUUCCUAGUCAGGGAA
rnacentral:tRNA from 1 species